GAUACCGGUCAUUUUUAACGACCAUAAGUAUGAAGGAGAUGGCCAUGAAAUAGAUGCCGGUGAUUUUGGCCACAUUAACCCAGUUAUUCAGAGACUCACUGGGAAUAACGGAGCCUUAAGAAAUGAAAGUUAUUAUAAGGCAACACAUGACACGUGGAACACGUCCCAGUUGCAGCAGCUGGUGAUGCGUGGCGAAAGGGAGUCUGUGGCGGUGGGAGGGCCCGGCCACAACCCC